rnacentral:rRNA from 1 species
AGCUCCAAGAGUGUAUAUUAAAGUUGUUGCGGUUAAAAAGCUCGUAGUUGAAUUUCUGAAAAUAAUCUUCUGAUUGAUUUAACCGUCAUGAUGAAAAAUUAUUAUCAUACUUGGUAGGUGGAAACAUUUACCUUGAUUACUUUGAAAAAAUUAGAGUGUUCAAAGCAAGAUUCACAUCUGAAUAAUACAGCAUGGGAUAAUAAAAUAUGACAUUAGUUAAAAUUUGUUGGUUUCUUUGGCUAAUGUAAUGAUUAAAAGGGACAGUUGGGGUAAUUUAUAUUGGUCGGGGAGGGGUGAAAUCCUAUGAUCCUUCCAAGAUAAACUAGUGCGAAAGCAUUUUACCAGGAUGUUUUCA